rnacentral:lncRNA from 1 species
CUACCAAAAAGAUUUUUAUAUUGUAAAUAAUAUUUAUCCAUCGCUCUUAUUCAAAACAUUAGUUUGUUGUUAUCUAUUGAUGGUGUUCUUCCUAUCAGAUGAAGAACAUAUGAUUUUUCAAUAUGUGCAUGUGUAAGUAUAAAUACAAAGGACAAACAACUCGUCUACAAGCUUUACAAUGUAUAUGCUUCUACAAAGUUAACAUUGUUACUUUCAAUAUGAAACAUUAACUAGGUUGAACAGGUUCACUAUAACCAUAUAUUUGUGCCAGCUCUGGUAAUUCGAGUUCAGAACCUACAAGAGAUGCAAGAUCUGAUGAGAUCAAAACAAGUUUCACAAUUAUAGUUACAACAUAAAGCAAUCAUUCUUUACAGCAUAAUCAUGAUACGAUAUUAUAAUUUAUACUAAUUAGUGUUAUCGAUUGUGUUGUGGACUAUGGCAAAAGGCCAAAAAUCAAUCGGUCAUUUUCACGGUAAAAACGCCAAGGUGCUGCCAUCUUUCACAAAUUGGUCAUUGAGAUUGGCAA